rnacentral:rRNA from 1 species
ACGGGAGGCAGCAGUGGGGAAUCUUCCGCAAUGGGCGAAAGCCUGACGGAGCAACGCCGCGUGAGUGAAGAAGGUCUUCGGAUCGUAAAGCUCUGUUGAGAGGGACGAGAGAUUACUUCAGGAAAUGGGAGUAAGAGGACGGUACCUUUCGAGGAAGCCACGGCUAACUACGUGCCAGCAGCCGCGGUAAUACGUAGGUGGCGAGCGUUGUCCGGAAUUAUUGGGCGUAAAGGGAGCGCAGGUGGGACUUCAAGUCAGUCUUAAAAGUGCGGGGCUCAACCCCGUGAUGGGAUUGAAACUGUAGUUCUUGAGUGCAGGAGAGGAAAGCGGAAUUCCUAGUGUAGCGGUGAAAUGCGUAGAUAUUAGGAGGAACACCAGUGGCGAAGGCGGCUUACUGGACGGUAACUGACGUUGAGGCUCGAAAGCGUGGGGAGCAAACAGGAUUAGAUACCCUGGUA